GACGAACGCUGGCGGCGUGCCUAAUACAUGCAAGUCGAACGAGUGGCGGACGGGUGAGUAAUGUCUGGGAAACUGCCUGAUGGAGGGGGAUAACUACUGGAAACGGUAGCUAAUACCGCAUACCAUCAGAUGUGCCCAGAUGGGAUUAGCUUGUUGGUGGGGUAACGGCUCACCAAGGCGACGAUCCCUACCUGGUCUGAGAGGAUGACCAGCAAAACUGGAACUGAGACACGGUCCAGACUCCUACGGGAGGCAGAAGUGGGGAAUAUUGCGCAAUGGGCGCAAGCCUGAUGCAGCCAUGCCGCGUGUAUGAAGAAGGCCUUCGGGUUGUAAAGUACUUUCAGCGGGGAGGCGUUACCCGCAGAAGAAGCACCGGCUAACUCCGUGCCAGCCGCCGCGGUAAUUC
rnacentral:rRNA from 1 species